rnacentral:rRNA from 1 species
AUGUUAGCGGCGGACGGGUGAGUAACACGUGGGUAACCUACCUAUAAGACUGGGAUAACUCCGGGAAACCGGGGCUAAUACCGGAUAAUAUUUUGAACCGCAUGGUUCAAUAGUGAAAGACGGUUUCGGCUGUCACUUAUAGAUGGACCCGCGCCGUAUUAGCUAGUUGGUAAGGUAACGGCUUACAAAGGCGACGAUACGUAGCCGACCUGAGAGGGUGAUCGGCCACACUGGAACUGAGACACGGUCCAGACUCCUACGGGAGGCAGCAGGC